AGGGAAUCUUCCGCAAUGGACGAAAGUCUGACGGAGCAACGCCGCGUGAGUGAUGAAGGCUUUCGGGUCGUAAAACUCUGUUGUCAGGGAAGAACAUCCGGGAUGACCUCCCGGUCUGACGGUACCUGAUCAGAAAGCCCCGGCUAACUACGUGCCAGCAGCCGCGGUAAUACGUAGGGGGCAAGCGUUGUCCGGAAUUAUUGGGCGUAAAGCGCGCGCAGGCGGUUUCCUAAGUCUGGUGUGAAAGCCCGCAGCUCAACUGCGGAGGGCCACUGGAAACUGGGAAGCUUGAGUGUAGGAGAGGAGAGCGGAAUUCCACGUGUAGCGGUGAAAUGCGUAGAUAUGUGGAGGAACACCCGUGGCGAAAGCGGCUCUCUGGCCUAUAACUGACGCUGAGGCGCGAAAGCGUGGGGAGCAAAC
rnacentral:rRNA from 1 species